rnacentral:rRNA from 1 species
GAUGAACGCUGGCGGCGCGCCUAACACAUGCAAGUCGAACGAUUAAAGCACCUUCGGGUGUGUAUAAAGUGGCGAACGGCUGAGUAACACGUGGGCAACCUGCCCCUUUCAUUGGGAUAGCCACGGGAAACCGUGGAUAAUACCGAAUACUUCGAGACUUCCGCAUGGAAGACUCGAGAAAGCUCCGGCGGAGAGGGAUGGGCCCGCGGCCUGUUAGCUUGUUGGUGGGGUAACGGCCUACCAAGGCAAUGAUGGGUAGCUGGGUUGAGAGACCGACCGGCCAGAUUGGGACUGAGACACGGCCCAGACUCCUACGGGAGGCAGCAGUGGGGAAUCUUGCACAAUGGGCGGAAGCCUGAUGCAGCGACGCCGCGUGCGGGAUGAAGGCCUUCGGGUUGUAAACCGCUUUCAGCAGGGACGAGGCGAAAGUGACGGUACCUGCAGAAGAAGCCCCGGCUAACUACGUG